ACUGUGUGUUGUUGGGUAGGGGAGCGUUCUGUAAGCCUGUGAAGGUGUGUCGUGAGGCAUGCUGGAGGUAUCAGAAGUGCGAAUGCUGACAUAAGUAACGAUAAAGCGGGUGAAAAGCCCGCUCGCCGGAAGACCAAGGGUUCCUGUCCAACGUUAAUCGGGGCAGGGUGAGUCGACCCCUAAGGCGAGGCCGAAAGGCGUAGUCGAUGGGAAACGGGUUAAUAUUCCCGUACUUGGUGUUACUGCGAAGGGGGGACGGAGAAGGCUAUGUUGGCCGGGCGACGGUUGUCCCGGUUUAAGCGUGUAGGUGUGUGUUCCAGGUAAAUCCGGUUCACUUUAACACUGAGGCGUGACGACGAGGCACUACGGUGCUGAAGCAACAAAUGCCCUGCUUCCAGGAAAAGCCUCUAAGCAUCAGGUAACAUCAAAUCGUACCCCAAACCGACACAGGUGGUCAGGUAGAGAAUACCAAGGCGCUUGAGAGAACUCGGGUGAAGGAACUAGGCAAAAUGGUGCCGUAACUUCGGGAGAAGGCACGCUGACACGUAGGUGAAGUGAUUUACUCAUGGAGCUGAAGUCAGUCGAAGAUACCAGCUGGCUGCAACUGUUUAUUAAAAACACAGCACUGUGCAAACACGAAAGUGGACGUAUACGGUGUGACGCCUGCCCGGUGCCGGAAGGUUAAUUGAUGGGGUCAGCGCAAGCGAAGCUCCUGAUCGAAGCCCCGGUAAACGGCGGCCGUAACUAUAACGGUCCUAAGGUAGCGAAAUUCCUUGUCGGGUAAGUUCCGACCUGCACGAAUGGCGUAAUGAUGGCCAGGCUGUCUCCACCCGAGACUCAGUGAAAUUGAACUCGCUGUGAAGAUGCAGUGUACCCGCGGCAAGACGGAAAGACCCCGUGAACCUUUACUAUAGCUUGACACUGAACAUUGAGCCUUGAUGUGUAGGAUAGGUGGGAGGCUUUGAAGCGUGGACGCCAGUCUGCGUGGAGCCGACCUUGAAAUACCACCCUUUAAUGUUU
rnacentral:rRNA from 1 species